rnacentral:antisense_RNA from 1 species
AUGCGGUUUGUGGUAACUGGUUCCAGCAGCCCUAGGAAUCUAAUACACUGCCCAUGAAACAAAUCCUUUCUUGACCACCAAUGGCUGCACGACUUAUCCUGAGAAGAUCAUGGGGAUUUUGGAUGCCAGGUCAACCCUUACACUCAGCAAGGAAGUGGAAGGGCCUCAGUUUCAAACACUUUGUAAACACAGAGGUUAUUUUGAGGAUCAAGUGAAACUUAGAAACAAUAACAACAAAAAAAGCAAAGUCUGUGAUCAAGAAGAAUUACUCUGUUGCAACAAUAUAAACUAAGAAAAAAAUACGCAAAAUUCUCUGCUGCCUUGGGAGAUGACCUCAUGAUGUGUAUCAUUUACUUUUAAUACUUUUAUUUAUUUAUUUUUGAGACGGAGUCUCGCUCUGUCGCCCAGGCUGGAGUGCAGUGGCGUGAUCUCGGCUCACUGCAACCUUCGCCUCCCGGGCUCAAGUGAUUCUCCUGCUUCAGCCUCCUGAGUAGCUGGGAUUAUAGGCACGUGCCGCCAUGCCUGCCUAGUUUUUUAUUUUUAGUAGAGAUGGGGUUUCACCAUGUUGGUCAGGCUGCUCUCAAACUCCUGACCUUGUGAUCUGUCCGCCUCGGCCUCCCAAAGUGCUGGGAUUACUGGUGUGACUGACCGCGCCUGGCCAAUGUGUAUGAUUUAAUAGCCAGCAGCAACAGGCCACUAACAUGCCAUCUGCUAACAGGGGCUCUAGCUAUUAACAUCCACAGAGCUAAAAACUCUUAUGUCUGAUCCCUUGCAAAUGGCGAAGACCUGGCUGAGAAUUAUUAUCUCACGCUUUCAGAGAAAACUUUGCUUGUCCUGCACUGAAAAAUCUGGCUGCAAUAAUCACAUGGAAGAAGGUAUGUUUGUUGGCAUGGUUCAUGGGCUGGCUUAUGACUUCUAAGCAGAAGAUACAAAAUAAUAUAAAAAUCCUGCAACAUGCACAAUGUAGCUGAUAUUCAUGUUCUCUUUAAAUAUCUUAACACUGACUUACAUAUUUAAGGGUGUGGAGUCUUUGAGCUUGGGAAGCAUCUUAUUACUGAGGUACAAAUGCUAAAAGAGGGACAUUUCUUCUAUCUACCGCAUUUUCAGUGAAAAGAUGCUGAAGGUGAAUAAACAGAUCUGCAAACCCAGUUUUGUUUAACUUGGCAACAGCAGUAAGUAAGUAUCACUGGACACAGAGACACUGGAAUAGAGUCUUUAGUCUUAUUCAUCACGUCUGACCUUGGGCAUAUUACAUGGUUUUCGUGAGCCUAGGAAAUCAUGCGGCUGAACGAGCUGAAAACUAAGAUUCUUUCCUUUGCUAAUAAAUUUCAGCAAACGAUAGGAGUAAGAACGGCUGUCUAACGAGACUACCAAAUGCUACGAGACACAACAACCAAUGUCCCUUCACCUAAUGGAUACAGCUUCUUAACUGUUUAUCCAAAGUCUCCCCAAGCAAAUUCUAAAUUAUUCUAAAUUAUUUGAGUAACAAAGAUUGGGCCCUUAUACCUGUGACGUGUCUGGCAAUGACAAAGAAUGUGGAACAGGGGAAGCAUUUAAUACAUAUUUAUU